UACGUAGGGUGCGAGCGUUGUCCGGAAUUAUUGGGCGUAAAGAGCUCGUAGGCGGCUUGUCGCGUCGGAUGUGAAAGCCCCGGGGCUUAACUCCGGGUCUGCAUUCGAUACGGGCAGGCUAGAGUUCGGUAGGGGAGAUCGGAAUUCCUGGUGUAGCGGUGAAAUGCGCAGAUAUCAGGAGGAACACCGACGGCGAAGGCAGCACUCUGGGCCGGUACUGACGCUGAGGAGCGAAAGCAUGGGGGAGCGAACAGG
rnacentral:rRNA from 1 species